rnacentral:rRNA from 1 species
GAUCCUGGCUCAGAGUGAACGCUGGCGGCAGGCCUAACACAUGCAAGUCGAACGGCAGCACGGGGGCAACCCUGGUGGCGAGUGGCGGACGGGUGAGUAACACAUCGGAACGUGCCCUGGAGUGGGGGAUAACGCAGCGAAAGCUACGCUAAUACCGCAUAUUCUGUGAGCAGGAAAGCAGGGGAUCGCAAGACCUUGCGCUUUGGGAGCGGCCGAUGUCGGAUUAGCUAGUUGGUGGGGUAAAGGCUUACCAAGGCGACGAUCCGUAGCGGGUCUGAGAGGAUGAUCCGCCACACUGGGACUGAGACACGGCCCAGACUCCUACGGGAGGCAGCAGUGGGGAAUUUUGGACAAUGGGCGGAAGCCUGAUCCAGCCAUGCCGCGUGAGUGAAGAAGGCCUUCGGGUUGUAAAGCUCUUUCGGUGGGGAAGAAAUUGCUUGGGUUAAUACCCUGAGUAGAUGACGGUACCUGCACAAGAAGCACCGGCUAACUACGUG